rnacentral:rRNA from 1 species
CUUUACUGUAGCUUUGCAUUGGACUUUGACGGGACUUGUGUAGGAUAGGUGGGAGGCUAUGAAAGUGCGACGCUAGUUGUGCUGGAGCCGUCCUUGAAAUACCACCCUGGUGUCGUUGAGGUUCUAACCUUGGUCCGUGAAUCCGGAUCGGGGACCGUGCAUGGUAGGCAGUUUGACUGGGGCGGUCUCCUCCCAAAAGGUAACGGAGGAGUUCGAAGGUCUCCUAGGUACGGUCGGACAUCGUACUGAUAGUGCAAUGGCAAAAGGAGGCUUGACUGCGAGACCGACAAGUCGAGCAGGUGCGAAAGCAGGACAUAGUGAUCCGGUGGUUCUGUAUGGAAGGGCCAUCGCUCAACGGAUAAAAGGUA